UACGUAGGGGGCUAGCGUUGUCCGGAAUCAUUGGGCGUAAAGAGCGUGUAGGCGGUCCGGUAAGUCCGCUGUGAAAGUCGGGGGCUCAACCCUCGAAUGCCGGUGGAUACUGUCGGGCUAGAGUGCGGAAGAAGGCGAGUGGAAUUCCUGGGUGUAGCGGUGAAAUGCGCAGAUAUCAGGAGGAACACCUAUUGCGAAGGCAGCUCGCUGGGACGUAACUGACGCUGAGACGCGAAAGCCGUGGGGAGCAAACAGG
rnacentral:rRNA from 1 species